rnacentral:rRNA from 1 species
UACUUGAUGGCGACCGGCAAACGGGUGAGGAACACGUACACAACCUUCCUUCAAGCGGGGAAUAGCCCAGAGAAAUUUGGAUUAAUACCCCAUAAUAUAUUUGAUAAGGCAUCUUAUUAAUAUUAAAGCUUCGGCACUUGAUGAUGGGUGUGCGGCUGAUUAGAUAGUUGGCGGGGUAACGGCCCACCAAGUCUACGAUCAGUAGCUGAUGUGAGAGCAUGAUCAGCCACACGGGCACUGAGACACGGGCCCGACUCCUACGGGAGGCAGCAGUAAGGAUAUUGGACAAUGGACGAAAGUCUGAUCCAGCCAUGCCGCGUGAAGGAUUAAGGUCCUCUGGAUUGUAAACUUCUUUUAUAUGGGACGAAAAAAGGGCAUUCUUGUUCACUUGACGGUACCAUAUGAAUAAGCACCGGCUAACUCCGUG